ACGUAGGGGGCAAGCGUUGUCCGGAAUCAUUGGGCGUAAAGCGCGUGUAGGCGGCUGCAUAAGUCUGUUGUGAAAGUCGGAGGCUCAACCUUCGAAAGCCGAUGGAUACUGUGCAGCUUGAGUACGGAAGAGGAGAGUGGAAUUCCUGGUGUAGCGGUGAAAUGCGCAGAUAUCAGGAGGAACACCAACGGCGAAGGCAGCUCUCUGGGACGUAACUGACGCUGAGACGCGAAAGCGUGGGGAGCAAACAGGA
rnacentral:rRNA from 1 species